rnacentral:lncRNA from 1 species
GAGUGUGCCUUGCUUUGAAAUAUCACUGGGUUCUUGAAAAGCAGGAUUAGUUUAGUGAUGGGUAAUAAAAUCAUCAAGGAUUGUUUAACUUAAGUACAACUGUGUGUACCAGAGGAUGCAUGCUUAAAGCACCAAGGGAAAACAGCUUUUAAGGAAUG